rnacentral:rRNA from 1 species
GUCCAGACUCCUACGGGAGGCAGCAGUGGGGGAUAUUGCACAAUGGGGGGAACCCUGAUGCAGCGACGCCGCGUGGGUGAAGGAGCGUUUAGGCGCGUAAAGCCCUAUCGGCAGGGAAGAAGGAGGACGGUACCUGACUAAGAAGCCCCGGCUAACUACGUGCCAGCAGCCGCGGUAAUACGUAGGGGGCGAGCGUUAUCCGGAUUCACUGGGUGUAAAGGGAGCGUAGACGGCCAAGCAAGCCAGGAGUGAAAGCCCGGGGCCCAACCCCGGGACUGCUCUUGGAACUGCGCGGCUGGAGUGCAGGAGGGGCAGGCGGAAUUCCUGGUGUAGCGGUGAAAUGCGUAGAUAUCAGGAGGAACACCGGUGGCGAAGGCGGCCUGCUGGACUGCGACUGACGUUGAGGCCCGAAAGCGUGGGGAGCAAACAGGAUUAGAUACCCCUGUA